AUGCAUUGUGAUUCCUGUCCAUUGGACUGUAAGGUUUGUGUGGGCAAUCUUGGAAACAAUGGCAACAAGACUGAAUUGGAACGGGCUUUUGGCUACUAUGGACCAUUCUGAAGUGUGUGGGUUGCUAGAAACCCUGCCGGCUUUGCUUUUGUUGAAUUUGAAGAUCCCCGAGGUGCAGCUGAUGCGAUCCGAGAGCUAGAUGGAAGAACACUAUGUGGCCGCUGUGUAACAGUGGAACUGUCGAAUGGUGAAAGAAGAAGUAGAAAUCGUGGCCCACCUCCCUCUCGGGGUCGUCGCCCUCGAGAUGAUUAUUGCAGGAGGCGUCCUCCACCUCGUCGCAGAUCUCCAAGGAGAAGCCUCUCUCGCUGCGGAAGCAGGUCCCUUUCUAGAGAUAGGAGAAGAGAGAGAUCGCUGUCUCCGGAGAGAAAUCACAAGCCGUCGGGAUCCUUCUCUAGGUCUCGGAGCCGAUGUAGGUCAAAUAAAAAAUAAAAAGAAAAAUUAAAAAAAACAAAGAACAGUUUGCAAGAUAAGUGGUGUACAGGAAAUUACUUCAUUUGACAGGAAUAUGUACAGAAAACUCAAGUUUUGUUUGAGACUUCAUAAGCUUGGUGCCUUUUUAAGAUGUUUUAGCUGUUCAAAUUUGUCUCUUGAAACAGUGACACAAAGGUAUAAUUCUCUGUGGUUUGAAAUGGGUCAUAUGAGGCAUGUAAUACCAAGUAUUGUUACUUUACAAUGUCCCCUUAAGCAGAAUUAAAUUUGUUUUGAACUUUAGUUAUGCAUAGACUGAUAAUAAAGCUCUAA